UACGUAGGGGGCAAGCGUUGUCCGGAAUUAUUGGGCGUAAAGAGCGUGUAGGCGGCCCGAUAAGUCCGCUGUGAAAGUCCAGGGCUCAACCCUGGAAUGCCGGUGGAUACUGUCGGGCUCGAAUCCGGAAGAGGUGAGUGGAAUUCCUGGUGUAGCGGUGAAAUGCGCAGAUAUCAGGAAGAACACCAAUGGCGAAGGCAGCUCACUGGGACGGUAUUGACGCUGAGACGCGAAAGCGUGGGGAGCAAACAGG
rnacentral:rRNA from 1 species